GACUGUCCUCCCGGCUAGCUCAGUCGGUAGAGCAUGAGACUUUUAUUCUCAGGGUCGUGGGUUUAAGCCCCACGUUGGUCG
rnacentral:tRNA from 1 species